CGAGCCGGCAGCGGGUGUGGGAGCAGCGGGUGUGCUCCCGGCUCGCCGAGACCCUGAUCGCCGCCGGGCGGUUCGCC
rnacentral:tRNA from 1 species